UACGGAGGGAGCUAGCGUUGUUCGGAAUUACUGGGCUUGAAGCGCACGUAGGCGGCGUUGUAAGUGUCGGGUGAAAUCCCACGGCUCACCCGUGGAACUGCCCGGCAUACUGCGAUGCUAGAGUGUGGUAGGGGAGAGCGGAACUCCUGGUGGAGCGGUGAAAUGCGUAGAUAUCAGGAGGAACACCGGUGGCGAAGGCGGCUCUCUGGUCCACAACUGACGCUGAGGUGCGAAAGCUAGGGGAGCAAACGGG
rnacentral:rRNA from 1 species